UACUAAAGAAACCCAGGGGUUGCCAAG
rnacentral:sRNA from 1 species